rnacentral:RNase_P_RNA from 1 species
UUAGGCAACCGCUGCAAGUAUUUCCUUGUAGAGGAAAGUCCAUGCUCACACUAUCUGAGAUGAUAGUAGUGUUUGUGUCGAUUUAAUCAAUAAGGUCGAGCAUAGACGGCGAAGAAGACUCCUAAGGCUUGCUAUGGACAAUUCUUCCUAAGGUGCCACAGUGACGUAGCUUAUUAAGAAAUUAAUAAGGUGGAACGAGGUAAACCCCACAAGUGAGAAACCCAAAUUUGGUAGGGGAAUCCAAAAACUUGAAAUGAAAAGUUUAGGGACGGUAUGACCGUAGAUAAAUGGUUGCCCUUGGAAACAAGACAGAACAUGGCUUAUU